AUGUGGCGAGAGGAUUCAGUCUGGCGUCUCGUGCGUGCUUGACCGGAAGACAAUCAUGGCUUCCCGGGAUCGGGUGCCGUCCGGUCGCACGGUCGCGUCCCGUCAGACGCAUUUGACUCUCGCCCGAAGGACGCUGCAGCCGGUGGGGCAGUGGAAAACGUGACGGCCUGAAAGUCGGGAGAUGGCAGUUGACCGGUGGCGCGCACUCAGCGCGCCUGCCGGUUGUUAGCCGUCCCGUCUGUGGCCCGUCGCCCCACCGUGGUGUCGCUAGGCCCUAACGGGCUCUCCUCCGUCUCCUUUAAAAUCGAAGCGAGUAGAUCGCCGCUGGAGCGGGCAGCCGACACGUCGCACUCAUUGCGUGUGGACGGUCGAGCGAGUCCACCCCGCAGGCGGCCGGCAGGGCUCGUAGGAGGUCGGAGGCUCGCAGCGAGUAGGUCGGUCACCCACCCGACCCGUCUUGAAACACGGACCAAGGAGUCUAACAUGUGCGCGAGUCAAUGGGUCUUGAACAGGCCCAGAGGCGCAAUGAAAGCAAAGGCAGGGCGUCGUGCCGGCCGAGUUGGGAUCCCCGCUUCACGGCGGGGCGCACCAACGACCCGUCCCGUCCGGCUCGCCGGUGGGGCGGAGUGUGAGCGUACACGUUGGGACCCGAAAGAUGGUGAACUAUGCCCGGACAGGACGAAGCCAGAGGAAACUCUGAUGGAGGUCCGCAGCGGUUCUGACGUGCAAAUC
rnacentral:rRNA from 1 species